GGCAGGGAUGACAAAGAAGAGAAUAUAAAUUUGGUUGUGACUGUUGCUGCACCGGACACAUUUGUUGGCAAUGUUUUGGGUAUGUUUGAAGUUUCUGGUUGCAAACUUGAAGUACUUUGAAGUGUUGCAUCUGCUUUUGUUGUAUUGUUCAGAGGUGUAGUAUUGCUAGUAAGAGUUUCAGCUGCUAUUGGUUUUAUGGAUGUGUGACCUGAAAUUGUAGAUGCUGGUGAUGUUGACGUAUUGUUGUUUGGACCUGAUGCUAUUGGAAAUUCUGGAAAUUCUGCUGUGUUAGUGAAACCUGUAAUAAUUCCAGUGGUAGUUGUUGAUGCAGUUGUGGUUUCUGAAUCCAAGUUUGGGCUUGAAGUUGUUUUGGUUGAAAGUGCAAGUGUGGCUGGAGCAGAAGAUGUACUGGUAAAAGCGACAGUUGUUUUUAAAAGAUCUCCUGAUGUUAGUUGAAAGGCAGUUGUUGUUUGAGUUGCAGUUGAGCUUGGAAUGGUGGCAGUUGCUGUGCUUGGAGCUGUAGCUGAGAUAUCAGCUGGAACUGUAGUGGUGGCCAGAACAUUCAUGGUUGUAAUGGGUGCAGAUGGGGUUCUUGGAGGUUCAGUUGUUUUUGUUGGAGUUAAAGUUGGUAAUAUAGUUACAUGUGAUGAGGAGAUAGGCAAAAUUGUUACAGCAAUAGUUAUGAUCUCUGGAGACACAGUUGUGAUUAUUGGAGGUGCAUUUGUCGUGGUAAUGAGUGUUGCCUGGCUUAGAGCUGGAACUGUAUUUGUGAAAGCAACAGUUGUGCUUGAUAGAGGUACAGUUGUUAUUUGGAAUGCAGUUGUUGUUGCCACUGAAGGAGUGUUCUUGCUUGAUGUUGUUGGAUCAUUAGUUGUUUUAGAUGUGGUUGAUGAAGCUGUAGUUGCGGUCUCUGCUGUUGUACUUUCUGAAGUUGUAGGCAGUGUUGUUGAAGUAAUGGGUGUGGUUUUUGUACUCACAACUGUGGAGGUGGGAUUUCAUUGGGGAUGCUGUAGUUAUUGAUCUUGUUACAGGUGCAGUUGUUUCUGAAGAUGUAGGCAUUGUUGAAGUAAGAGUUGUGGAUUCAGAAGUUACAGCUGUUGAUGUUGUUGGAUCAUGUGUUGCAGUAGAUGUGGUUGAUAAAGCUGUAGUCGUGGUUUCUGCUGUUGUACUUUCUGAAGUUGUAGUCAGUGUUGUUGAAGUAGUAGUUGUGGUGGUCUCUGUACUCACAACUGUGGUUGUUGGAAUUUCGCUAGUUGACAAUCCUUUAGUUGCUGAUGUUGUUACAGGUGCAGUUGUUUCUGAAGAUGUAGGUAUCGUUGAUGAAGCUGUAGUUGUGGUUUCUGCUGUUGUACUUUCUGAAGUUGUAGGCAGUGUUUCUGAAGUAGUAGUUGUGGUCUCUGUACUCACAACUGUGGUUGUUGGAAUUUCACUAGUUGACAAUCCUUUAGUUGCUGUUAUUCUUACAGGUGCAGUUGUAUCUGAAGAUGUAAGCAUAGUUGUUGAAGUAAGAGCUGUGGAUUCUGAAGUUACAGCUGUUGAUGUUGCUGGAUUGUUUGUUAUUGUAGAUGUGGUUGAUGAAGCUGCAGUUGUGGUCUCUGCUGUUGUUCUUUCUGAAGUUGUAGGCAGUGUUGUUGAAGUAAUAGUUGUGGUUUCAGUCCUCACAACUGUGGUGGUGGGAAUUUCAGUAGUUGAGGAUGCUGUAGUUACUGAUGUUGUUACAGGUGCGGUUGUUUCUGAAGAUGUAGGCAUUGUUGAUGUAAGAGUUGUGGAUUCUGAAGUUACAGCUGCUGAUGUCGUUGGAUCAUUUGUUGUUGUAGAUGUGGUUGAUGAAGCUGUAGUUGCGGUCUCUGCUGUUGUACUUUCUGAAGUUGUAGGCAGUGUUGUUGAAGUAAUGCGUGUGGUUUCGGUCCUCACAACUGUGUUGGUGGGAAUUUCAGUAGUUGAGGAUGCUGUAAUUACUGAUGUUGUUACAGGUGCAGUUGUUUCUGAAGAUGUAGGCAUUGUUGAAGUAAGAGUUGUCGAUUCUGAAGUUACUGCUAUUGAUGUUGUUGGAUCAUUUGUUGUUGUAGAUUUAGGUGACAAAGCUGUAGUUGUAGGCAGUGUUGUUGAAGUAGUAGUUGUGGUCUCUGUACUCACAACUGUGGUUGUUGGAAUUUCACUAAUUGACAAUCCAUUAGUUGUUGAUAUUGUUACAGGUGCAGUUGUUUCUGAAGAUGUAGGUAUCGUUGUUGAAGUAAGAGUUGUGGAUUCUGAAGUUACAGCUGUUGAUGUUGCUGGAUUGUUUGUUGUUGUAGAUGUGGUUGAUGAAGCUGUAGUUGUGGUUUCUGCUGUUGUACUUUCUGAAGUUGUAGGCAUUGUUGUGGAAGCAAUAGUUGUGGUUUCUGUACUCACAACUGUGGUGGUGGGAAUUUCAGUAGUUGAGGAUGCUGUAGUUAUUGAUGUUGUUACAGGUGCAGUUGUUUCUGAAGAUGUAGGUAUCGUUGUUGAAGUAAGAGUUGUGGAUUCUGAAGUUACAGCUAUUGAUGUUGCUGGAUUGUUUGUUGUUGUAGAUGUGGUUGAUGAAGCUGUAGUUGUGGUUUCUGCUGUUGUACUUUCUGAAGUUGUAGGCAUUGUUGUGGAAGAAAUAGUUGUGGUUUCUGUACUCACAACUGUGGUGGUGGGAAUUUCAGUAGUUGAGGAUGCUGUAGUUAUUGAUGUUGUUACAGGUGCAGUUGUUUCUGAAGAUGUAGGUAUUGUUGUUGAAGUAAGAGUUGGUUUAAACAGCUGUUGAUGUUGCUGGAUUGUUUGUUGUUGUAGAUGUGGUUGAUGAAGCUGUAGUUGUGGUUUCUGCUGUUGUACUUUCUGAAGUUGUAGGCAUUGUUGUGGAAGCAAUAGUUGUGGUUUCUGUACUCACAACUGUGGUGGUGGGAAUUUCAGUAGUUGAGGAUGCUGUAGUUAUUGAUGUUGUUACAGGUGCAGUUGUUUCUGAAGAUGUAGGCAUUGUUGAAGUAAGAGUUGUCGAUUCUGAAGUUACAGCUGUUGAUGUUGUUGGAUCAUUUGUUGUUGUAGAUGUGGUUGAUGAAGCUGUAGUUGUGGUCUCUGCUGUUGUACUUCCUGAAGUUGUAGGCAGUGUUGUUGAAGUAAUAGUUGUGGUCUCUGUACUCACAUCUGUGGUUGUGGGACUUUCAGCAGUUGAGUAUGCUGUAGUUACUGAUGUUGUUACAGGUGCGGUUGUUUCUGAAGAUGUAGGCAUUGUUGAUGUAAGAGUUGUCGAUUCUGAAGUUACAGCUGUUGAUGUUGCUGGAUUGUUUGUUGUUGUAGAUGUGGUUGAUGAAGCUGUAGUUGUGGUUUCUGCUGUUGUACUUUUUGAAGUUGUAGGCAUUGUUGUUGAAGCAAUUGUUGUGGAUUCUGAAGUUACUGCUAUUGAUGUUGUUGGAUCAUUUGUUGUUGUAGAUGUAGGUGACAAAGCUGUAGUUGUAGGCAGUGUUGUUGAAGUAGUAGUUGUGGUCUCUGUACUCACAACUGUGGUUGUUGGAAUUUCACUAAUUGACAAUCCUUUAGUUGUUGAUAUUGUUACAGGUACAGUUGUUUCUGAAGAUGUAGGUAUUGUUGUUGAAGUUAGAGUUGUGGAUUCUGAAGUUACAGCUGUUGAUGUUGUUGGAUCGUUUGUUGUUGUAGAUGUGGUUGAUGAAGCUAUAGUUGUGGUUUCUGCUGUUGUACUUUUUGAAGUUGUAGGCAGUGUUGUUGAAGUAAUGGCUGUUGUUUCGGUCUUCACAACUGUGGUGGUGGAAAUUUCAGUAGUUGAGGAUGCUGUAGUUGUUGAUGUUGUUACAGGUGCAGUUGUUUCUGAUAAUGUAGGCAUAGUUGUUGAAGUAAGAGUUGUGGAUUCUGAUGUUACAGCUGUUGAUGUUUUUGGAUCGUUUGUUGUAGAUGUAGUUAAUGAACCUGUAGUUGUGGUUUCCACUGUUUUAACUGUAGCAGUGGAAUGUUCAGUUGUGGCUGUGGAUGCAGUAUUUGUUGUUUCAGCUGCUUUUGUCUUUUCUGAAGACGUAGUCAUGGUUGUUGAAGCAAGUCUUUCUGUAGUUAUAACCAUUGUUGCACCUGAAGAAUCUGAUGAGGUUGGAGCUGGUUUUGCUGAGGUUGAAAUGGCAAGUAUAGUUGUUCUUUCUGAAGCCGUAUAUCCUGAAGUUGAAGACUCCUUUUUUGAAGCACUGGAUUUUAAAAAGAAAAAUAUAAUAAAUUAUAUACCUUUUAAAUUAUUAUUAACUUAAAAAAAAAAAAAAACAUGUUUGUAUUAGAUUAAAAAAGUAAUGACUAGUGGUGGGCCGUUAUCGGCGUUAACGUGCUGCAUUAACGUGAGACUCUUAUCGGGCGAUAAAAAAAUAUCGCCGUUAAUCUAUAGUACUCAAAGUUGGGUUGGGAGCUGGGUCUACUACACAAGCUAUGAUGAUUUCACCUUGAUGUUUUAGCGCGGAUGUAUAGGCUACCUAGCCGAAUUGCACUGUAGGGGGCGAGAAUGAGUCUUCGAACCUGUGUGUAUGCCUACUGUGAAAUUACCACAUCAAACGUGACGUGCUAACAUUGAUGCAGCUAUGAACCCGCCGGGUUUGUUUCAGGGGAAAAAAAAAUUAUUUUAAGAAGCUUCCCAAUGGAAACGUCGACAAGACUCACGCCUGGUUCACACUCUGUCUGCAGUGCGUAUGCAGUCCGUGUGUGUGGUGCAAAAGCAGCAUGGACUCAUUGUGCUUUCACACAGGAAGCGUUUGAACUCCGCUACUGAUCCGCGGCUGUUUAGUCC
ensembl:lncRNA